rnacentral:lncRNA from 1 species
CGUUAGAUUUUCUCUCUGGUUUCUUUGUGUACUCGUACGUUUCUUCUUCUUCUAAUUCCUUUUUGGGUUUACUCUUCUAAGAUUUUGUUAGGCCUUCGUGAUCCCUGUAAACAGAGACGGAUAUUGGGGGGGGGGGGGCUGGGCUGGGCUGUACCCCCCUCCCCCAGGUCCAAGAAUUUUUUUUUAAGGUAUUUUUUAUUUUUUUUUGGUAAAAAAUCAGUUUUUUAUGUGUAAAAAUUUUUUUUUCCACGUAGUAGCCUGGUUUGAAAUUUUGUAGUCCGGUCGUGGAUCCAAUUCUGGAUCCGUCCCUGCCUGGAAAUUGGUCUUGCUACACUAACAGACUAACUUGGGCAUGAAAUAGUGGCUGUUAUUGUGUGGUUCUGUACAGAAAUAGAUGCUUGAACCUUUGUGCUUUAGUGCUGUGCUUUUUGUAGUUCUUAGACAAAAUCAUUUUCUGAUUUUGGUUCCGUGUAUUUUGUACUCUCUCUAGAAGACUAUUAUUGUAAAUAGUGAACCAGAUGAUCUUUGAGUCCCCAGAUUAGACGUUUGUUGCAUUGGAUGAACAAUUUUUGUGUUCUUAUGUUUUUGUACAUGUCGUUCUAUUUUUGUCCAUUGUAAAACGAUUUUGUAAGGCAAAAUUCCAACAACUAGACAUACCGUGUAUUGUGUCGAAUGUUUAUAAGAACAAGAUAUUAAGCAAUUGUAAGUACUUAAAAUUUGCCGAACUGGUUUCUAAUUUAAUUAUAAGUACUUUUAUGUUAUAUAUCGAAAAUUUGUCUAAAUUUCAUAUUUAUUAAGCAGUAUGAUCCGGAUUGAAUAUGGGAUACAAGCAUUUUUCCCAAAUAGCAACUGGAUUACGUACUCUUCUCUGAAAUAUAGAGGAAAACUAAUUUAAAAGGGAACAAAGUUCUUAAGACAGGAAAUCGGAUUUUCUGAACCUGUCUCUUCCGGCCUAUGUUGUAAAUUAGUUCAGGAUUGAAACUGGACCCGAUAGAGACUAGACUAGACCGAAUGAACUUCUAGUAACAGUAGGCGCACCUUUAGUUGAGGAACAUUAUUGUGAUUAUUGCUGCUCUGAUAGUCCUCACUAUCAUCAUCUAAAUUAAUUUUGAGUUGGGAAAUUGUUAGUUAAUUUAUUGUCAAACGACCUCUUCGGGCCGUGAUAUUAACUCGAUUAUAAUUUUAGUCUGCUUAGACUAAAUGACUGAACAAUAUAUUGAUGCCACAAAAUGAACGACCAAACUUCAAUUUGGAUGGGCCACUCAAAGCGAUCCAAUUUAGUAGAGUUGUUUGUAGCCCGACCAAUUCACUUGGAUGGCUUAGCAAUGAGACCUAUUUUAUUCGCCUACUAUUCUUUUUUGUUGGGCCUCUUGUGCCACUACCUUAACCUAACCUAACUUACCUUAUUUUGGUAGCCCCUUUGGUUAAAUGGACGGUCUCUCUUUUGCUGCCUACAGUGCAUGACUUUGCUACCUUAUUUAUUCUUAUCCAUCUCUCAGUUUGCUACCUUUGUGGUUGAUCCUUGUGAGAUUAUUUGAUAUCCUUUGUAGUCUCUUUGUGGGCAUUGACUAGCAACCGUGAAAGGGGAAGAAAUCCAAUUGGAGGUGUUUGGUUUUGUUUGAAUUGUGGUGUUGAUCUUGAUGGUGAAUUGAGCUGGAUAUUACCUUGGUGGCUGUAGGUUUUUCAUCUACAUCUGGUAUCAGAGCUUGGAGGUUGAAAAAUUGGCCAAAAUCGCGAAGGAGACACGAUUUCCCUUUUGAAUCAGAAUCCGAAAAUUCCAAAUUCAGGCCAAACAAGACCUCCAUUGGACGAACGGAGACCAAACCCAUACUUAGCAGAGUGAGGCACCUCCGGUGGUGGGGCGCAUGACGGUGGCGACGGCUACGCAUGUAGCAACUUUCCGAUGAGCUUUUUUUAGGCAUGAUAUUUAUUUCGAUCUCUUGAAAGUACUGAUAUCAUUUGUUCAAUGUUUCAAGUCAAGCAUGAAAACUUGGACAAUUUUGCCCCUAAACGCUUGUUCUGCAAUCGAUUGGAAAGUUGCAUUGAAAUAUAUUUGUUGAAUCUUUAGGGCAAAUAGUUGUGGCCCUAAAGUAGCAGAUUCGCAUCUCUCGAUUUCACGAACUCAAAUAUGUCUACUCUGGUAAAUUGGCUUAACCUGUUUAAUUUCUAGUAUUAGCGUGUCACCAUGUAGGGUGACAAAAGGAUUGUGGUUAAAGUGAAGGGGUAACAUUACUUAUGCUAGAAAUUAGAAUUACUCGUUCUUAAUUUUUCGAUUGAGUACUUGCUUUUGAUAAAUUAGCUUAUUG